UAAAAAUAUUGCAGAAGGUAGAUAAUUCCAACAUUUGUGUUUUUUAGAAAUUACUUUUUUUCAAGAAUGAGUUCAUGUCCUUUGCAGGGACAUGGAUGAAGCUGGAAGGCACCAUUCUCAGCAAACUAACACAGGAACAGAAAACCAAACACCGCAUGUUUUCACUCAUAAAUAGGUGUCCGCAUUUGGUACAACGUUCGUCAAAGAGGAUGAGGUUACCGGGAUUGUCACUGAUGUGUUUAAAUGACUGCGCCAGCCUCCAGAGAAUAAGAUCUGUAUUCAUUGAUUCAUUUAACCAAUAUUCAGGUGACUACCACAUGCAAUACCACACUCUUAUCUAGGCAACUUGAGUCACUGAGCUCAGUCCAGAAUCUUGAUGACUGAAUGGAAACACCAAGGAGAAUACAUGAAGCCGGGCACAGUGGCUCACACCUGUAAUCCCAGCACUUUGGAAGGCCGAGGCGGGCAGAUCACCUGAGGUCAGGAGUUCAAGACCAGCCUGGGCAACAUGGAGAAACCCCGUCUCUACUAAAAAUACAAAAAUUAGCUGGGUGUGAUGGCACGAGCCUGUAAUCCCAGCUACCUGGGAGGCUGAGGCAUGAAAAUCUCUUGAACCUGGGAGGGGAGAUCGCGCCACUGCCCUCCAACUUGGGUGACAGAGUGAGGCUCCAUCUCAAAAAAAAGAGUACAUGAAAAGUUCCCAAAUCAUAAAUCAAAAAAAAUUGUUUGAAAGUUUAUUUACAACCAACAUCUCAUUUCCCCGUAAGUCUCCAUUUCUUCUCAUAUGCACUGCAGAUAACAAAACCAUUGUAAACUCUAUUUUUCUCCCCUUCUCACUGUGAUGUUUCAUAAGUAAAACCUAGAUUUUCCCAGUGCAGACCUCCAUUUUACUCUUGAAGACAUAGGUCUGGUAACUUGUGGCUAGGAAAAUGAGGAAUAGAAAAAUAAACAUUUUGAUGCCUGAUUGUUUGAUAUUUU
rnacentral:lncRNA from 10 species